ensembl:lncRNA
GGUAACUGAUGGAUCAGGAUUUAUGCUUUCUGUCUUCGGAGUCCAUCUGCAUUUGGUCUGACAGCUGCUAACUGACAGUUUACAUGGGGAAAUUGAUGGAGUGCACUGCGGUCUAGAAAUGGGAGGAAGAACUGCAGAUAAAGGAAUAAUGCCAUAGCACUGAAGUGAAGAAGAUCCACUCUCCAGGGAACACAUCUCAACAGACUCAGACACAUGGGAGAAUUGCAGCUUGGUCUUCGCCCACAAAAUUACAUUUGAGGUCCGCUGGGACAUCAGCCGAUGGGUGUGUUACUAAAAGAAACAGAUUCAAAUUCUCUCCCAUGAAAAUGUUUUUUUCUCUGUGUCAGUAAAUCAAAAUAUUAAGAGGAAAGUCAGUCAUACGAGUUUGGAAUGUCAUGAGGGGUUUAGACCAUGUUAAGUGAUUCACUGGAAGAGAAGAGGGCCACUGGGAGAGAAAGUAAGAUGAUGAGAUGGAUGGUUGUAGAGAGGUCGAAGGAGGUAAAGGGACCUAACUCAUUGCUGACCCCUGCAGGCUUGCUUUCCGGCGCCUCUUAAUCUCAAUCAGCAAGGAACGAGGGCUCAUCAGUCAUUAGCAAGGAUGAUGACCAGCGUGAUUGUGCUUUAGAAACCUGUCUCAGCCUCCAGCUAAACUACUCAUCCAUGACCAAUCGAUGGUAGUGGGGCCCACGGAGGAAGAUUCAAAGUGUGUGUACGUGCGCCUGGUCACCCCCAUCCCAGGUCCCCUAUGGAGCUCAGCCAACCUUUAUUACUGAGCAAAAGAGGGAAACAGGCCUGUCACAGGCAAAGUGAUAAAGCAUCAUUACCACACUGCAGAGGAGGAAUGAGGGCAGCCUGCUCUGACACAACUCCUUUCAUAAAGAGCUUCACGCCGGCAUAUUGGACAGACAGUCAAAGAGCUCCAACAAAGAACAAAAUGACUAGUCCGGCCAAAUCCUAUGCUGGUAUUGACAUACCCUCUUUCAUUAUACCCCACUGUGGUGUACUGCACCACAGGCAGGGCUCAGGCUCAGGCUGGUGUGACUUUACGGACGUUGCCAUCGGAUCUUUCACAUGACAGAUGGAAUAUUUAAUUUCACAUAGCAAGUGCUUUGCACCGUAACAUGAUGAAUCAGAACGAUCUGGGCAUAAGUGAGAGAGUCAACCAUCAUUUAAGACUGUUGAGCCAUUAGGACGUUUGACUGCCUGUAUACAUACUGUAUAAAACAUUAGCACUAUACAUUAACAUUAUAUAUUGUAUUAAUAAUAUUAUAUUAUAUUAUUAUAUUAUAUUAUUAUUAUUUGUCAUUCGUAGUAAUAAUUACUUAUUAUUAUAUUAUUACUCUGGAUUUCCGGAAAACUGUAGUUCUAAACUAAUAGUAAUUUGAUA